GAAGUAAAAGUCGUAACAAGGUUUCCGUAGGUGAACCUGCGGAAGGAUCAUUACUGAAAUGAACCUUGAGGCUGUCGCUGGCCCGUCUGGGCAUGUGCACGUCUCUGGUCAUUACCAAUUCCACCUGUGCACACUUGUAGACACUUGGGAAUGAGAGACUUUAACCAGUCUCUUGAGAGAAUUAAAAUCUGGGUGUCUAUGCCAUUUUAUUACACACUAGUUGCAUGUCUAUAGAAGGAUGAUUUGAUUAAAUAUAAAAUACAACUUUCAACAACGGAUCUCUUGGCUCUCGCAUCGAUGAAGAACGCAGCGAAAUGCGAUAAGUAAUGUGAAUUGCAGAAUUCAGUGAAUCAUCGAAUCUUUGAACGCACCUUGCGCUCCUUGGCAUUCUGAGGAGCAUGCCUGUUUGAGUGUCAUUAACAUCUCAAGACCUGUCUGCUUUUGAUAGGUAUUGGAUUCUUGGGGGUUGCAGGCUGUUUCAGAUAGCUUGCUCUCCUUGAAUGUAUUAGUGGAGAAAGAGCCAUUGAACUCCAUUGGUGUGAUAAAAUCUAUCAAUGCCAGGAGCCAUGUUAGUUUUCUCUGCUGUCUAACUCUAACAGUCGUCUGUAUAAAAUGGACAACUCAACCUAACUUGACCUCAAAUCAGGUAGGACUACCCGCUGAACUUAAGCAUAUCAAUAAGCGGAGGAAAAGAAACUAACAAGGAUUCCCCUAGUAACUGCGAGUGAAGCGGGAAAAGCUCAAAUUUAAAAUCUGGCAGAUGCUUGUCUGUCCGAGUUGUAACCC
rnacentral:rRNA from 1 species